rnacentral:rRNA from 1 species
CUGAUGCAGCGACGCCGCGUGAGGGAUGACGGCCUUCGGGUUGUAAACCUCUUUCACCAGGGAAAAAGCCACAAGUGACGGUACCUGCAUAAGAAGCGCCGGCUAACUACGUGCCAGCAGCCGCGGUAAUACGUAGGGCGCAAGCGUUGUCCGGAAUUAUUGGGCGUAAAGAGCUCGUAGGCGGUUUGUCGCGUCUGCUGUGAAAGCCCGGGGCUCAACCCCGGGUCUGCAGUGGGUACGGGCAGACUACAGUGCAUUAGGGGAUACUGGAAUUCCUGGUGUAGCGGUGAAAUGCGCAGAUAUCACGAGGAACACCGAUGGCUAAGGCAGGUCUCUGGGCUGUCACUGACGCUGAUGAGCUAAAGCAUGGGGAGCGAACAGGAUUAGAUACCCGGGUAGUCCAUGCCUAAAACGUUGGGCACUAGGUGUGGGGGACAUUCCAUGUUCUCCGCGCAGUAGCUACCGCAUUAAGUGC